rnacentral:rRNA from 1 species
GGACCCGCACAAGCGGUGGAUGAUGUGGUUUAAUUCGAUGCAACGCGAAAAACCUUACCUACCCUUGACAUGUCUGGAAUCCUGAAGAGAUUUGGGAGUGCUCGAAAGAGAACCAGAACACAGGUGCUGCAUGGCCGUCGUCAGCUCGUGUCGUGAGAUGUUGGGUUAAGUCCCGCAACGAGCGCAACCCUUGUCAUUAGUUGCUACGAAAGGGCACUCUAAUGAGACUGCCGGUGACAAACCGGAGGAAGGUGGGGAUGACGUCAGGUCCUCAUGGCCCUUAUGGGUAGGGCUACACACGUCAUACAAUGGCCGGUACAGAGGGCUGCCAACCCGCGAGGGGGAGCCAAUCCCAGAAAACCGGUCGUAGUCCGGAUCGCAGUCUGCAACUCGACUGCGUGAAGUCGGAAUCGCUAGUAAUCGCGGAUCAGCUUGCCGCGGUGAAUACGUUCCCGGGUCUUGUACACACCGCCCGUCACACCAUGGGAGCGGGUUCUGCCAGAAGUUGUUAGCCUAACCGCAAGGAGGGCGAUUACCACGGCAGGGUUCGUGACUGGGGUGAAGUCGUAACAAGGUAGCCGUAUCGGAAGGUGCGGCU